UGCUCCAAGUGGUAGUAAACGCCGUCAAAUACACAUCCAUCGAUCGCCAUGUUGGCGCGGGCGGUGUGCUUUGUACUAGAACAUCGAUGAAUUUCAGAAACUUACGAGGUAUUAUUUGCUCGGUGUACUUGUUUUUGUCUCGAUGCCGUUUACAACCAUUGUUUUAGCUUAAUUUCUUACUCGGUUUGAAAGGGACCGGAGAUGAUUCAAGGAGCAGAGGGGAUUAGAUACGAGUUGCUAAAGGUGCGUAGGGAAGGGAGAAAGGGCAUCUUUCGAGUGUGUGUGUGCGUGAGAGAACGAUUUUGGACCUCAUCUCUACGUGCUAUCAUAACUAGUGGCUAUUGCACGUAGUUAAUCACGAAACAGAUUCACAAAGAAACCGACAAAGAAAAAUCGUGAACUUGCAUGGUUGGACUCCAAAACUUGCCCAGCUAAAAUUAAAACAAGCUCAUAAAAACUUUGGCACUUUGGUUUAAAGUCAAAAAUGUUUUUGUCUAUCACGUUUUAGGACCCAUCAAAUGACAUCUUUAAGUUCUUUCUUAGAUUUUAGCAUAAAAAAUUUGUCAUACACUCAGUUUUGGCAUGCACUAAAUUUGGCAUGGCAAAUUUUGGAACUAAAUCAAUCUGGUCCGUAUCUGCGCAACAGAAUCUGCUUGGUUCCGAAGCAUAUGACGCGAACAUCGGUAGCCUGAGCCCUCAGCCUGCCAGCCAUCAAGUAGCUGCCCCUGCCCGCUCGUAUGCGGUACUAGUAUGCCAGAAGUGGGAUCGGGAUCGGCACCAAAUCUAUCCGCCCGGGCAACGCUCGCCACCAGCGGAUCCGCGGAUCCCUCCCUCUUUUCAGCCAAAAGCCAUUUCCAGCUGAGAGAAAAGGGAAAGGAGAUGCGGAACCUGCUGGGUACCGGACAUGACCAGUACGGUGCAGUGCAAAGGCCACUCCAGUUGGAGUAUGUUCAAAAAUGUACCGCAGCGGCACAGGUCACGUUCCAUAAAAAAUCAGAAUAACGUUCAUUCAGAAACAAAAAUGUACUGCGGCGGCACAGGUAACAUUCAAUCAAAAUGUUGGAGGAGAGGUGAUCCUGGAAGCCUCGUGCAGUAGCAAACAUUAGCAAUGGACAAAAGGACUUUUACAGUUGUAUACAGCGCAGGAGGGCCGGCUGCAGUAAUCCCAUCCUCAGUCAGUUCAGUGUUGCCAUUGAUUCUUUUUUUUUUUAGGUCAACGGAAGGGGAGAGAAUCCCCACCUGAAUUUCAUUCAUUCAUCUUUGGCCCCAACCGGCCCGAUUGAUGGGUAGAAUUUGUUUCUACAUUGUCACAUUACAUUGCGCCAGAGAACAAUUGGCACCAUUUGCUAGCGACAUCCGCUAAGCAUCUCGGCAACCUGCAGCGCCAGAGCUGCGCAUCAUCCUUGUAGUUCUUUAGGGUUUGUCGUAGCAUCCACCGCUCACCCCGGAACACGACCUCAUUCCGCCGUUUCCACAGUUGCCAACAGCAGAGCAGCACCAGGCUGGUGAAGUGUUCCUCUGGAACACCCGGCGACCGUUCCAUCUUAUGGAUGUCUUGAACGCUGGAGGAUGGAGGCGGGCGGAACCCUAGCGCCGACCAGAAGGAGCUGGCGGAACCCCAGUGCCAUUGAUUCUGGUCAGUAUAGUAUUGAUCCUUCGAUGGUAAAUCCAUUUGGAGUUCAAAUGCAGAAGGCAAACAUAAGUUUUUUGCAUGGCUCUUGGUGCAAAGCAAGAUUCUAACAGCUGACAAAUUAAUCAAGAGGAAUUGGUCCUGUGACCCAAUUUGUAGCCUUUGUGAUCAAGCACCUGAGACGGCAAUGCAUCUGUGUUUGGAGUGUGUGUUCGCUAGGGAAGUUUGGAUGCUCAUGGCUUCUUGGUCAGGGGGACUGAUUCAGACACCGGAUCAUGGCUUAGGGAUGGAAGAGUGGUGGCAUAGCUCACUCCGCCAGCUGCCAAGAGCCCAACGGCGGAAUGUGGUGGCAAUGUUGAUGUACACGGCUUGGAACAGCUGGAAUGAACCCUUGAGAGGACAUCAACAACAACAUUGCAAGUUUUUUCGUUCAUCAGGGAGGAGAUCGGCUUGAGGAAGACAGCCAUGAGAGGCCCUUUGAGCCGUAGUUUCAUCAUGCUAGCCUUUAAUUUCUUAGAGUACCGAGAGAUCUUUUAUUUAUGUAAUAUUAACUAUGUAAGAACCGUCCUUCCUCUUCUUCUUAUAUGAUUUGGCAGCGUUGCUGCCUUUGGUUAAAAAAAAAGUAUAGUAUUGAUUCAGAAGAAGAGGGGCAAACUUAAUUGCCAGUUUGAAUAAUGCUACUAUCUUCCGAAGCCUGUCUUCCGUCGUCCUAACAAGCUUGGCACUUGAUAGAUACAUCGAACAUGCAUAGCAAAAGGUGGCCGUUUGGAUAAAAGCUGGAUCGACAACGCCUCUCCACCGAAGAAGGUGGUGGCAAGUUUUUGCAAGCAAUGCGAUGUUUUCGUGCUACGUUGUUGCUAGCUGUGCACUGUUAGUGCAAGCAACGCAACGUGAUUACAGGAUUGACCACCGAGUGUUAAUUUACCUACAGCUUGCAAAGCUGUUGUAUCCUGUUACGGAGGUUGGCUGGACUCUUGUUUUCUGGAAGACAGGAAUACGUGUCCGUGUUUUUUUCUUCCUCAUCCCAUCCCAUGAUCCGGCUCCAGCCAGAGCUUCCCAGCGAGACUACACGGAUCUCACGGUCACGCCAUGUCCGUGGCGGCGCGAACAAGUCGUCGUGCGCCGUCCUCCUUGACAUCCGGCGCCGGCCAAGGCGCACAAUACAUAUGGCAGGCAGCUGAGCUGCGUAGGCCGUAGCAGGAGGCAGCCCGGCAACCGACCCAUGAGGGGAGGAGGGAGGCGGAGGGCGGCACAAGCAUCCAACAAGCCUGGCGCCCAUAUCGGUCAGCGAGGCCGCACGGAAAAUCCAAGCCGGCGGUGGUAGCAAUGGGCCCAGGUGGCGCCUCACAUGCAGGAUGGUCCAUGGUGUACAGCCAAGCGUAGCAGAGAGCAGACCAGACGUACGCGUACCACAGUACCAGUACGGCAGUAUACUCAUGCACCGUAGAAUUGACCAAAGGGGCUCAUGCUCCUGACACCGGCGACUUAUCAUCUGAAAACACUUGUUGCCCAAGUUGGGCGCGACCUGAUUCCCUCCGGAACUGACGGCCGACUUCAUGUAUCUGCAAAAGUUUCCUUCGAACGAACAGCCUUCGAGUACAAGCUUCCGUGUAGGUUCUUGAAAAGAUCGUUCCCGGAAAUGUAUGCAAUCAACGAGGCAAUGACUGCACACUCUGCAGCCAUGCUCACGGAGGCGCAACCGUAUGCUGGGGGGACACCAUCCGGCUGUCCUGAAAUCAGAAUUCAGAAGUGGCGCUUUGGACAGAAACUGCAAGCUCUUUCCAUGGACAUCGAUCAAGCAAGCAAGGUUGUCUUUAUCAAAAAAAAGCAAGCAAGGUUGUCUUUCAUGUGUGGCUUGUCCGUCGAGAGACAUGUCCUUUGACCUUCCGGUUUGUUAUAUCAUUUCCCCUCUUUCUUUCACAUUCACCGUCGUGUGCCCCCUGCCUCUGCGUCUCGAGGAUACAGAGUGAGGAAAGACACUGGUCAGGUACGAGGACUUCGGCGCGGCUAGUAGCCUAGUACAAACAUUAACGCGUGAUUAAGUGGAUACGAUUGGGCAGGCUUUUUUUUGGAAAGGAAUUGGGCAGGCUUUCAAGUGAGCGAUUCAGCUUUAAUGGAUUCUGUACCGAUAAAUCGUAAUGGUCCAAGUGUGUCGUAGAUAGGAUACAAUCCACGUUUUGCUGCAACGCAAGAUGAGGCGUAAAAUCAACCACAUCUGCAGUUCCGCACCGCACCCCGUCCUCCAACGAAGGCACCGUUCAUGGAUGCUGAAAUCAAAUCGCAGAACACAGCAUACACAAUGGAAAUGCUCUUCAGUCUAGCUCCACGACAAACGUUUAAUGCGUGAUUAAGCGAGUAAGGGACUCUAAAUCAGAACGAUUGGGCAGGCUAUCAAGUGAGCAAUUCUGCUUAACAUUCUCGCAUCAUAAUGGUCCAAGUGUGCCGGAGAUAGGAUAAGAGUCCACAUCCACAUUUUUGGUGCAAGACGAGGCGUGCAAUCAACCACAUCUUCAGUUCCGCGCUGCACCCCGUCCUCCCUCCAACAAAGGAGGUGCAGCAAUCGACAAGCCGCCCCGCUACCAAGGAGUAUCAACCUAUCAAUGGUUGGCGCCGCGCACUGCGCCCAUACUGAAACCAAAUCGCAAUGGAAAUGUUCUUCAGUUUAGUAAUCCUUGUCAACUUCUUUUCGUCCGAAUUAAACUGUAUAUAUUUCAUUAUAGGAAAAUUUUGGGCAGAUGAACUUGGAGCAGCAUCUGCCCAAAAUUUUCCACCAGAUGUUUACAUCACAUCCCUUAAAUUAAUUACACCGCCUUUUGUGUUGGUUGUUUUCCCGUCUAGAUCAAUCAUCAAGAGACUCACCCAACUACAGCUGCUACUUGCAUCAAUCCUACAAAAAUCUUUCUUCUAGGCUACUACCGGCUAAAAGAAUGGCUACUUGUUUUUUGUACCAGUUCAGUUUUGUACCAAAGAGGAGAAACCCAAACAGAGCAUGAGGGGAGAGAGACGAGGCGAUCGGUGAUCAGAACUUCAGAAGAAUGCGGUGCCGGCGAAUCCGCGGUGGAGCAGGUUGUGCGCGAUGCCGUCCCUGGCUCGCUUCGCGGCCUCGGAUCGCACGGGGUUCUCCGGCGUGGUCUCGUCGUCCACCAGCUCGCACCGGAUGGCCGGGUCCACCUCCUCGCCGCGGAGCUCGCAGAUGUUGUGCAGGACGCAGCAGGCGCCCAGCACCACGGGGAGGUCCUGCAGCUUCACCUCCGUUCGCUUCUGCAGGCACGCCCACCGCGCCUUGAGCCGCGCGAACGCCUCGACGGCCACGCGCCGGAGCUCCCCGACCUUCUCGUUGAAGGCGUGCUGCGUCCACGUCAGGUUGGGGUGCGUGUACGGCACCAGCACCCAGUCCAUGAGCGGGUAGCUGGCGCCGCCCACCAGCCACGAGUCGCGCAUCAUCCCGGCCGCCGCGCGCUGGUGGAGCAUCGACUUCUCCAGGACCUGGUCGUCGGGCAUGGAUCCCGGCCACCCGAUGCACACGUCGGUGAAGGCGCCGUCGGGGCCCACGACGCCCUGCAGCGUGAUGGAGUAGGACGUCUUCUGGUUGCGCUCCGUGUGGCGGCGGUUGAAGUAGGCGGCCACCGAGAUCUUGGGCGCGAUGAUGGGGAUGUGGGUGGUGUACAUGGCGCCGACCACGCCGGGGACGCCCGAGGUGCGCUCGAAGCUGGCCUUGAACCGCGCCGCCGCGGCCUCGUCGGGCCACUGCAGGAAGCGGGGCAUGAGCACGGACUUGAUGGCGGCGCAGACCUCGAGGACGAGCUUGUGGCAGGUGGAGAUGCCCAGGCCGAAGCGCUUGGAGACGAGGCGGAGGGGCUCCCCGGUGGCGAGGCGCCAGAUGCAGACGGCCACGCGCUGGCGGACCGGGAUGGCGGCGCGGAGCAUGGUGUCCUCCUUGGCCACCGCGGAGCCCAGCGCGUCGCAGAUCAUGUCGAACGUCUCACGCCCCAUCCGGAAGGCGCGCCGGAAGUCCUCCUCCGGGUAGUCGGGGCUGCUGCACUUGUCCCACCAGUCGCGCGACCGGUCCUUGACCCAGAGCCGGCGCUGGUGGUGUCCGCCCUGCCCCGCGGCGCGCGGCGGCGACCCCGACGCGGAGGCCGCGGACGCCGACUCCUCGGCGGACACGACGGCCGCGGCGGCCGACGCGGCAAGCCUGGAGCGCUUGGACCUGGCGGCGGCCUCGGAGUCCGCGGCAGCGUCGAAGCUGCCCUCCAUCUUGGCGUAGUAGUCCAUCAUGGCCUGGGAGCGGGUGUCGGCGUUGGACUCGAGCAGCGCGAGCUCCCGCCUGGACGCGUCCGCGGCGCCCGCGCGGUCCGCGUGCUCCUCUGCAUCCAGCGCCGCCAGCGAGGUGAGUAUCCGGGCGAUGGACCGCUUCUUGCCGUUGCCGUCCUUCUUGGCGGCGGCGCCGCCCUCCUCGUCCUCGCCCGCCCCGCGCUGCGGCUUCCGCCGCCGGCCGUUGGUCAUCGCGCCGGCGGCGUUGGCGUUGCCGCUGGGGUCGUCGAGCCCGAGCGGCGACGGCGCCGCGGCUUCCUGGAGGAAGGAGUAGUAGAAGGCGAAGUCGUCGUCCCCUGCUGGCGCUGGAGCUGCACCGGUUGCUGGAGCUCCCCCACCGCUGCUUGGUGGGCGGCCGUUGGAUGGGGAUCUCAUAUACUCCGUCUCGGCCUGUGUCGCCACCACGCACACACACACACACAAAGCAGCUAGACGCAACGCGGGUCAGUCGGCCUCGCGAGCCGGUGGUGGGUUCGCGUCAAAGGCAGGCAGGCGAGCGAGCGAAAUGGAAGCGCAGCAGUCCUCCGUCUCCGUGCGAUUGGUGCGGAAGCAGCAGAGCCGUGGCGAUUUGGGAAGGGAGGGAGACUGGUGUGAAAGGGGAGGGGCGGAUAUAAAUACCCUUUUGGUCCAUGGUCUGAUGUGAUGAGGCAGCGCGCGCGGUGCGGUGUGAACGCGGCUGGCGUUGCUUUUUGGACAAGGAAAGGAAAGGGCAGAGGAAGGAAGGAGGAGACCGGCCUGCCUCUGACAGCAUGCGUGGGGGUGCGUGCCGCGGCGCGGGAUUACGCGGUUUCGCGCAGGCGGCAGGUGGGGCCGGCCGCGGGCAGAGCCAGAGGAAGGGAGGGAGGUGGUGGGUAGGCUGGCGCGGCACGACACCGCGUGGACCAACGGGGGCCACCACCGGUCCGGUGCGGUGCGGUGCGCGGUCAAUGGGCGACCUGCGGCGUGGGCAUGUUCCGCAUGCCGAGAGAGCUGGCGUGGCGUGGCGUGGCCGGGCUCGCGUGCGCGGACCGCGCCCGUAACGGCGGCGGCCAACGGCGGGAUGGGAUGGGAUGGGACAUGGGAGGGAAACCGCAAGUGGCGCGGGUGAGGACGAGCGAGCCGAGCGCGACGGGACCCGAGGGAAACGCGGUGCGCGGUGGCGUCGCGUACUCGCGUUCUCUGCCUCCCGAGCCGACAUGCCCGCCUGACCUGAUCCGACCAGAGGCGGUGGGUGGCGUCUCGAGGUCUGGUGGUAGCGAAGCGGGGCGGGGGACGAUGGCGGCGCGCACGCCGCCGCACACCGGGCCCGGCGACAAACGCGGCGACGCUGAUCCGUUUCGCAAUCGCUGCAGGCGGCGGCGACAAACGGUGCCUCUCGUCUCGUGUCUCCUCUCGUGCGCGGGACCCAGGAAAGAUCGUAGCACAGUGAUAUCGGGUAUGAACGCUACUGCUAGCCUACUACCACUGCUGCAAAAAGGCGCAGUUCCAAAACGAUCUGCGUGGACUUGUAUGUACGUUCUCAUUGGAAUGGUCCGUACGACCCCAGGAAAUAUUUCUUUUGUAUUUCUGUUUUUUCGAGUCCAUGAGCUACAUUUCAAUAGGAUACAAUGCAAAAGUAUCUCCAAGAUAUUCUUUUCAAAAAAAGAAUAUACGUACCAGCAAUAUAAAUUCCCACCAAAAUAGUGGUACGCGACAACAACAGUUUUUCAUGUAUAUACCAUUUUGAUUUUGAGUUACUGCUUCAAAAUGUCGAUUCGGUUUUGCGACUCCCCACAACUAAUGGAUGACAAAAUAGUAGGAACAGGAAUUUUAUGUGCCCUAUUUGCACGAUACAUAAAGUUCUGUAUUUUCCUUUGAUCCAAAUAACUCUUUGAAUCUUCCUGGACAAGUGGUCUUUAAAGCACAAAAGUUGCAUUUGCAUGCCACCAGUUAACGAUCUUGGAGCGCAUAGACAGAUUCUCAUUUCUUUUUGGUCACAGAAAAAGUAGGGCACUGGUACGGUGUUUAGUGGUGGUAGCAGUGCUAUAGAAAAGAAUUAUAGUGCUACUAGUACUGGUUUGAAGGGGACGAGGAAAAGAAAGGUGGAAUCCAGUAUGAACAACAACAGAGGACUUGAGGUACAAGUCAAACCGAGCCCACACGAUCACAUUGGACAUGCGAGACAGACACAGUCAACUGAAAAAAGGCAAACCAAAGCCUAUAGACGUACUAUAUUUUUUUUGUAUUAUUUAUUUAUAUACCAUAUAAGUUUGAUGUUUAGUUAAAUCAAAUAUUUUUGUAGGAUUUGAAGAUGCAAAUACGUGAAUUCUAAAAGAUGAAAAUUGCAGAAAUAGCCAUUUCAAGUGCCCUAAUUCUUCCAAAUAAAAUCCUUUUAGAAUAAUUCGCUCUAUAAGAACUUCAUGCCUGCCAAUCGUAAUCGUUGGAAGGAGCACACCUAGCGUUGUGAUCCAUUCGUGUGUAAAAAAGGUCGCUCUUCCUGACACUCGCUGUCAUUAACUCAUUAUUGUCAACCUGACACUCGCUGGUGUUAGUAUGAUCCAUGGGCUGCCUACAUCGACUUCUGAGCUGAAGACCAAUAAUCUCGGCAUCUCGUCAUCAGUUGAAGCUUGGACUGCGGCUGGGUAUUCAUGAUAAACUACCUCUAUGCCAUGCAUCGAGAGUGCACUCCAAAGGCAUGGUGCCUGCAUCUUUUUUUUUUGAAUUAGAGAAUGUAAGAAAUAAAAGGUACGUAAGAAACAAUUCCCUCAAUAAUCCUACAUAGUAUCUAUAAGUUGUAUUUAUAAUAUUCCCGUUUUAAAUUAUAGGUUAUUUUAGUAUUUUUAAAUUUAUAGUUUUUGCUAUGCACCUAAAUAUACGUUAUGUCUAGGUGAUUAAAUGAUAUAUAAUUUAGAACGGAGGGAGUAGAUUUGUACAUUCAUUUGUAAGCGCAACAACAUGAAGCGGUGACACUACCUAUUUCGAUGCAAAAUAUAUUUAUUAUAGUUCGUGGUUGAUCUUAUUCUUUUUCUCAAUUUUCCUCUGAUCGAAAGGAUUCUUUGAGUCGCUCUCUCACUUUCUUCGAGAGUGGUCUUAAAGCAUAAAAGUGCCGCCUUGACGGCAGUGUGUUGCCAUCGUUGUGCAUGUAAGUAACGUUACUACCGAAGACCUCAUGAACCAGACGCUACAACCUUGGAGCGCAUAUACUAUACGGAUCUAUCUUUGAGAUCAACUAUAUUGCGGUACUGUAUGCUACUAGGAGUACUAGCUAGUAACUGGUUUGAAGGGGACAGAAAGGCAAAAAGGAUCGAAUGAAAAUAUGAGCAGCGAGAGGGGACUUCCAAGCAAGUGAACCCGGCGCGCACAUGUUCUAACUAUUCGGCCGGGUGACGGAAACCCUUGGAAAAAUUCAACUAACAAAAGUCAAAAGCGCAACAACAAAGAGAAAUAAACGAGGCCGUACCCACGGCUGGUAGGUAGUAGGUGGGUACGAGUACGACGACUCUCCCUUGUAUCAAGCCACGAAAAUUGUUCCUUGUUCGUUCAUGGAAAAAUUUAGGAAGGAAUACACAGGCAGCACAGCCACCUGCUGUGUCCGCCGAAUGUGACCUGGUCAAGGGAAGGAAAAGGCCACGCAUGUCGUGAUGGGAUAUUGCGUUCCUGGAAGCCGUUCCUGUCUGGUCAAAUCGUCGGGUUUGUUCUGACUUCCGAGCCCUCCUAGUAAUGGUUUCGGAAUCUCCGAGGCAGCCUGGCUCUGGGUUGGAUUGGAUCCUGGGCGAUGGUCACUCAACGUGACGUGCCUAAUGGGAUGCAGAUUUGGGUUCGUGAGUAAACAGAGUCUCUGCUGAGAAUUCCAAAUUCGCGAUGUUUGGUCAGCAGAAUGAAACCUGAAUCGCUCUCCGCCAAAUCUCAUUUCCCUUUUUAGGAAUUCUUUUUCACAAUUUUAAUUUUUUUGAAAGAUAUUCCCCUUUCUUCUCUCCUAACACAUCGGACCCAUCUAUCAAUGAGUAAACGACCUUUCUUCUUCCUUUCUCCCUUCUCUUUUCCCUCUCCCUCCUUCUGCGCCGGCACUUGACCAGCAGUGGAGACGGCCACAUGUGGCGCGGCCACGCGUGGUCGGACGGUGGUGCAACGAGCUGGGACGGGGGGUGGCAGUGCAAGGCGCACAUCGGACAGCUAGGAAUAGGACACUACUAGAAAAAUCGCCUCUAGUACCAGUUCA
rnacentral:lncRNA from 1 species